rnacentral:rRNA from 1 species
GACGAACGCUGGCGGCGUGCUUAACACAUGCAAGUCGAACGGAAAGGCCCUGCUUUUGUGGGGUGCUCGAGUGGCGAACGGGAGAGUAACACGUGAGUAACCUGCCCUUGACUUUGGGAUAACUUCAGGAAACUGGGGCUAAUACCGGAUAGGAGCUCCUGCUGCAUGGUGGGGGUUGGAAAGUUUCGGCGGUUGGGGAUGGACUCGCGGCUUAUCAGCUUGUUGGUGGGGUAGUGGCUUACCAAGGCUUUGACGGGUAGCCGGCCUGAGAGGGUGACCGGCCACAUUGGGACUGAGAUACGGCCCAGACUCCUACGGGAGGCAGCAGUGGGGAAUAUUGCACAAUGGGCGGAAGCCUGAUGCAGCAACGCCGCGUGCGGGAUGACGGCCUUCGGGUUGUAAACCGCUUUCGCCUGUGACGAAGCGUGAGUGACGGUAAUGGGUAAAGAAGCACCGGCUAACUACGUGCCAGCAGCCGCGGUGAUACGUAGGGUGCGAGCGUUGUCCGGAUUUAUUGGGCGUAAAGGGCUCGUAGGUGGUUGAUCGCGUCGGAAGUGUAAUCUUGGGGCUUAACCCUGAGCGUGCUUUCGAUACGGGUUGACUUGAGGAAGGUAGGGGAGAAUGGAAUUCCUGGUGGAGCGGUGGAAUGCGCAGAUAUCAGGAGGAACACCAGUGGCGAAGGCGGUUCUCUGGGCCUUUCCUGACGCUGAGGAGCGAAAGCGUGGGGAGCGAACAGGCUUAGAUACCCUGGUAGUCCACGCUGUAAACGGUGGGUACUAGGUGUGGGGUCCAUUCCACGGGUUCCGUGCCGUAGCUAACGCUUUAAGUACCCCGCCUGGGGAGUACGGCCGCAAGGCUAAAACUCAAAGGAAUUGACGGGGCCCCGCACAAGCGGCGGAGCAUGCGGAUUAAUUCGAUGCAACGCGUAGAACCUUACCUGGGUUUGACAUGGAUCGGGAGUGCUCAGAGAUGGGUGUGCCUCUUUUGGGGUCGGUUCACAGGUGGUGCAUGCCUGUCGUCAGCUCGUGUCGUGAGAUGUUGGGUUAAGUCCCGCAACGAGCGCAACCCUUGUUCACUGUUGCCAGCACGUUAUGGUGGGGACUCAGUGGAGACCGCCGGGGUCAACUCGGAGGAAGGUGGGGAUGACGUCAAGUCAUCAUGCCCCUUAUGUCCAGGGCUUCACGCAUGCUACAAUGGCUGGUACAGAGAGUGGCGAGCCUGUGAGGGUGAGCGAAUCUCGGAAAGCCGGUCUCAGUUCGGAUUGGGGUCUGCAACUCGACCUCAUGAAGUCGGAGUCGCUAGUAAUCGCAGAUCAGCAACGCUGCGGUGAAUACGUUCCCGGGGCU